rnacentral:rRNA from 1 species
GACGAACGCUGGCGGCGUGCUUAACACAUGCGAGUCGAGCGGAAAGGCCCUUCGGGGUACUCGAGCGGCGAACGGGUGAGUAACACGUGAGCAACCUGCCCUUGGCUUUGGGAUAACCCUCGGAAACGGGGGCUAAUACCGGAUAUGCAUUUGUCACCGCAUGGUGGUGGGUGGAAAGUUUUUCGGCCAGGGAUGGGCUCGCGGCCUAUCAGCUUGUUGGUGGGGUGAUGGCCUACCAAGGCGACGACGGGUAGCCGGCCUGGGAGGGCGACCGGCCACACUGGGACUGAGACACGGCCCAGACUCCUACGGGAGGCAGCAGUGGGGAAUAUUGCACAAUGGGCGAAAGCCUGAUGCAGCGACGCCGCGUGAGGGAAGACGGCCUUCGGGUUGUAAACCUCUUUCAGCAGGGACGAAGCGAGAGUGACGGUACCUGCAGAAGAAGCGCCGGCCAACUACGUGCCAGCCGCCGCCGUAACAC